UCCUUAUUAGCUCAGUUGGUAGAGCGUUCGGCUUUUAAGUCUAACAAGGAACCGAAAUGUCCAGGGUUCGAGCCCCUGAUGAGGAG
rfam:Pichia pastoris GS115 chromosome 2, complete sequence